rnacentral:tRNA from 1 species
GCCCACGUAGCUCAGUUGGUAGAGCAGCGCUUUCGUAAAGCGCAGGUCGGAGGUUCGACCCCUCUCGUGGGCU